rnacentral:rRNA from 1 species
AUUGAACGCUGGCGGCAUGCUUUACACAUGCAAGUCGAACGGUAACAGGGUGCUUGCACCGCUGACGAGUGGCGAACGGGUGAGUAAUGCGUCGGAACGUGCCGAGUAGUGGGGGAUAACGCAGCGAAAGUUGUGCUAAUACCGCAUACGUACUGAGGUAGAAAGUGGGGGACCUUCGGGCAUCACGCUAUUCGAGCGGCCGACGUCUGAUUAGCUAGUAGGUGAGGUAAAGGCUAACCUAGGCGACGAUCAGUAGCGGGUCUGAGAGGAUGAUACGCCACACUGGGACUGAGACAAGGCCCAGACUCCGACGAGAGGCAGCAGUGGGGAAGUUUGGACAAUGGGCGAAAGCCGGAUCCAGCCAUGCCGCGUGUCUGAAGAAGGCCUUCGGGUGGUAAAGGACUUUUGUCAGGGAGGAAAUCCCUAGUGCUAAUAACACUGGGGGAUGACAGUACCUGAAGAAUAAGCACCGGCUAACUACGUGCCAGCCGCCGCAGUAA